rnacentral:rRNA from 1 species
UACGGGAGGCAGCAGGGGGAAUAUUGCACAAUGGGCGCAAGCCUGAUGCAGCCAUGCCGCGUGUAUGAAGAAGGCCUUCGGGUUGUAAAGUACUUUCAGUCGUGAGGAAGGUGUUAAGGUUAAUAACCUUAGCAAUUGACGUUAGCGACAGAAGAAGCACCGGCUAACUCCGUGCCAGCAGCCGCGGUAAUACGGAGGGUGCGAGCGUUAAUCGGAAUUACUGGGCGUAAAGGGCACGCAGGCGGUUAAUUAAGUUGGAUGUGAAAUCCCCGGGCUUAACCUGGGAAUGGCAUUCAAGACUGGUUAGCUAGAGUCUUGUAGAGGGGGUUAGAAUUCCAUGUGUAGCGGUGAAAUGCGUAGAGAUGUGGAGGAAUACCGGUGGCGAAGGCGGCCCCUGGCAAAGGACUGACGCUCAUGUGCGAAAGCGUGGGGAGCAAAC